rnacentral:rRNA from 1 species
ACGACGCUGGCGGCAGGCCUAAAACAUGCAAGUCGAACGGGUGUAGCAAUACAUCAGUGGCGCACGGGUGAGUAACGCGUGGGAACGUGCCCCUUAGUACGGGACAAUGUCGGGAAACUGACGCUAAUACCGUAUAAUAUCUCCGGAUCAAAGAUUUAUCGCUGAGGGAGCGGCCCGCGUCUGAUUAGCUAGUUGGUGAGGUAAUGGCUUACCAAGGCUACGAUCAGUAGCAGGUCUGAGAGGAUGAUCUGCCACACUGGGACUGAGACACGGCCCAGACUCCUACGGGAGGCAGCAGUUAGGAAUAUUGGACAAUGGGCGAAAGCCUGAUCCAGCCAUGCCGCGUGUGUGAUGAAGGCCCUAGGGUUGUAAAGCACUUUCGUUGGGGAUGAUAAUGACCGUACCCAAAGAAGAAGCACCGGCUAACUUCGUG